rnacentral:rRNA from 1 species
UACGUAUGGAGCAAGCGUUAUCCGGAUUUACUGGGUGUAAAGGGUGCGUAGGUGGCAGUGCAAGUCAGAUGUGAAAGGUCGGGGCUCAACCCCGGAGCUGCAUUUGAAACUGCAUAGCUAGAGUACAGGAGAGGCAGGCGGAAUUCCUAGUGUAGCGGUGAAAUGCGUAGAUAUUAGGAGGAACACCAGUGGCGAAGGCGGCCUGCUGGACUGUUACUGACACUGAGGCACGAAAGCGUGGGGAGCAAACAGG